AUUCUUCAGCUCCCCUCUUGUUCUCUGAGUCUUACAGAUGUAUUCCUUGAAGCCAGGGAGGGUCUCAGAAAAAAGAAAACACAAUAAAAGACUCCAGGUUGGAAGGACAAGUACCUUCAGGGGCCUGCAUAAGGAAGUUUGCAGCCUACGCUGAAGAAAAGCUAGAAUGAUGCUGGCAGCAGUGUUAUCUCUCACAGAGCACUGCAAAUCCAAGAAAAGAGGAAAUUGAAUCUGUUAAAACACACCACCUCCUCCAGUUCUCCAAGUGACCUCAGAGCUGAAUGUCAAUGAACCUUCUCACUGACAGGAAUUCAUCCUUGGGGGAAGGCAAACGUCUUACUGACCAAAGGAUCCUCUCUGAAGAGAUUGCCAACCUGCCACCACCUCUAGAAGAAGAGCAGCAAACAUUCAGGAGAGAUAUCUAGCAGUGUUUCAACAGGAUUGAAGGUCUGGCUCAGAGUCCCUGGAGCUGACACAUUUCAAAUCUUUUAGGGCAUUCUGGAAGUCCCCUGUUGGUGCCUACCAAAACAUGGCUGAAUCCUGUGACAUGAGGAAGGUGAUUCUUCUCUCUCCCUCCCAGUCAGCACAGCAGGGUGAAACUUGCCAGUCAGUCCUGAGCUAGCACUGCAUUAGUAUUUUCAAAGUCUUAUCAUAAAUUAGGAGAAAAUCUGGAGUAGUCCCAAAUCUGCUUCUGAUUGCCCAUGCGUGUUCUACAACUUGGACUCUACAAGAUAAACAGUCUCAUUUCUACCACAUGAUUCCUGCAUUAGAAAAAAAGGAAGAAGGUAAACCAGACCUCAACAAAAUUAAUGAACAAAAAAAUAAGUAAAAUAAAAAAAAUGAAGUCCCUGGUAACUUAGAACUUGACCCAGACUUCACCAAAAUCAAUGGAAGACUUCCAGCCACCUAAUUAGCACCUUGACUAAUUCUAUACACAAUAGAUACACAUAUAUCUUUGUUACUGGAACAGAUUUUAGAAAGCCCAGUGCUAAUCUGGGCUCUGCAUGAAACCAAAACAGUACCAGUAUCCGUGUUUGCGUGCUGAGCACUUUUUUCUUUUCUUUUUUUCUCUCUGGUCAUUAAAAAACAGCAAUUUUUGCUUG
ensembl:lncRNA